rnacentral:rRNA from 1 species
AGUGAACGCUGGCGGUAGGCCUAACACAUGCAAGUCGAACGGCAGCACAGGAGAGCUUGCUCUCUGGGUGGCGAGUGGCGGACGGGUGAGGAAUACAUCGGAAUCUACUCUGUCGUGGGGGAUAACGUAGGGAAACUUACGCUAAUACCGCAUACGACCUACGGGUGAAAGCAGGGGACCUUCGGGCCUUGCGCGAUUGAAUGAGCCGAUGUCGGAUUAGCUAGUUGGCGGGGUAAAGGCCCACCAAGGCGACGAUCCGUAGCUGGUCCGGGAGGAUGAUCAGCCACACUGGAACUGAGACACGGUCCAGACUCCUACGGGAGGCAGCAGUGGGGAAUAUUGGACAAUGGGCGCAAGCCUGAUCCAGCCAUACCGCGUGGGUGAAGAAGGCCUUCGGGUUGUAAAGCCCUUUUGUUGGGAAAGAAAUCCAGCUGGCUAAUACCCGGUUGGGAUGACGGUACCCAGAGAAUAAGCACCGGCUAACUUCGUGCCAGCCGCCGCGGUAA